rnacentral:lncRNA from 1 species
GUGCGAAGCUGUCGGAGACGGCGACGAGGAAGGUGGCGGCGGCCCAGAGGAAGGCCCCUGCGGCGACGACGCGGGCGCGGUCAUAGCGCGCGGCGGCGUAGGCGGCGAGCGGGUAGCAGGCGGCCUGCAUGGCAGAGCGGCACAGCGUGAGGGCCCCGAGCCCCACGGCGCCUCGUCGGCGCGCUCCAUGGCGGAGACGGGAGCGGUAGCAGGCGGCCUGCACGGCGGAGCGGCACAGUGUGAGGCCCCCGAGCCCCGCGGCGCCUCGUCGGCGCGCUCCAUGGCGGAGACGGGAGCGGUUUCGGAGAAAGAGAAGAACUUUCCCCUUUAACCCCCUCUCUUUCCUCCUUUUUCAAUCCGACACCCAGACUAUUCAUAAUAAUGGACUGCGGGUUGAUUACACAAAACAUCAGGGGUUUUUCUGCAAAAUUACCACGACGUACGAAAAUCCGAGCAGAGGC